CCCUGCCCGCAGCUCCGGGUGCUGUGAUCUGACAGCUCUGCCCGAGUGGGAACGGCCUCCCUGCCCCGUCACAGACGGGCAGCACCGGAAGCCCACUCAGUUCUCCCUGCAGCUGAGAGCACUAUUCUUCAUCCACGGGCGGUUCCAGAACCUGAGAGAAUCCAGGUCCUAUACCCCAGCCACCGGCAGCCUUUGCGGCCCCAAGCGGUGCACGGCCCGGCCCCCGACCUGCCCUCAGCCCUGGGGGCUGAUGGUCACGAUGGCCCCGGCAGCCGGCUCCUGCCCAGAGGUUCCCUGGACACCUCCAGGGUACAAGACCUCAAGCCCCGGCUAGAGAUCGGGGCCCGGAGGAGAGAGUUCCCCUCCAAAUGCCACUCGGCCUGCUCCACAGCAGCAGCCCCCCCACCCCGAGUCACCCCCGCUGCGCUUUGAAGCCCACAUCACACGUAAUUCGCAUCAGCCAGCCGCGUCCCGCCUGCCAUGAAUCUCCACCAGAGGAGCCAGCCUGCCUGGAAAUUACCCCCAUUAGGCCUAAUUACAGGUGCUCACGGUGUAAUCCGUCUCGACAGGCUGGCAGGUGCUGGUCCUGCGCUGUAAGGAGAGCGGGAGGCGGGGGGGUGACAGGGGUCUCUCUCACCUCCUCCCCGUUCCUCACCUUUCUUCCCCCCUCUCCCUGUGAAAGGCCCUGGGACUUGCCUCACAAGCUGUGUCCCCUGAGGGUGGCCCUCAUUGGUCCUCUCGGCUCCUGCCAGCUGUCCCCAGAUCAGUUCUCCAAAAUAGGAUUGGGACACAUACCCAGGCUGCUUGGCGAAAAGGCAGCUGCCAGGGCCACACCGGGUCCUUUAAUACCAGAUGCCAGGCCCAGGAACCUGCAUUUUAAACACCUGCCCGGGCGAUUCUUGGAAUUAAACAGACGUUGGAGCAAAACAAAACAAAAAGGUCAAAAGAAAAAACAGUGAAAGGUAAGUUUUCCUCCCAUCCCGGACACCCAGGCCCUUCCCCAGGGCAGCGUCCGUUACCGAUUUCUUGUGUGUCCGACCGGAAA